rnacentral:rRNA from 1 species
GGUAUGGGAUGAGCUUGCGUCCGAUUAGCUAGUUGGCGGGGCAACGGCCCACCAAGGCGACGAUCGGUAGCCGGCCUGAGAGGGUGAUCGGCCACAUUGGGACUGAGAUACGGCCCAGACUCCUACGGGAGGCAGCAGUAGGGAAUAUUGCACAAUGGGGGAAACCCUGAUGCAGCAACGCCACGUGUGGGAAGAAGCAUUUCGGUGUGUAAACCACUGUCAUGAUGGAAUAAGGCCCGCCUCCGGGCGGGAUUGAAUGUACCUUGAGAGGAAGCACCGGCAAACUUCGUGCCAGCAGCCGCGGUAAUACGAGGGGUGCAAGCGUUGUUCGGAAUUACUGGGCGUAAAGGGAGCGUAGGCGGAGAUUCAAGCGGAUUGUACAAUCCCGGGGCCCAACCCCGGCUCUGCAGUCCGAACUGGAUCUCUUGGAUAGUUCAGGGGCAGGC